ACUCAACCACUGAGCCACAUGCCCAGCCCUAUUUUGCAUUUUAGAGACAGAGACCGAAUUGCUUAGCACCUCGCUGUUGCUGAGGCUAGCUUUGAACUCACGAUCCUCCUGCCUCAGCCUCCCAAGCCACUGAGAUUACAGGUGUGCACCACUGUGCCUGGCAUCUUUUAGGGGUUUUAUAGUUACAUAGAUUAAAGAACUAACCGUAAGAUAUUUUAAUUUUUGUACAUGAUAUAAGGAUUCAACUUUUUUUUUUUUCAUCCGGAUAUCCAGUUUUCCCAGAAUCACUUGAAGAACCAAAAAAGUUUUUAAAAGGCAUCAAGAUAAUUCAAAGGCACCAAAAUCAGAUGACAAUCAGAUAAGCGGAUGUGCAUAUUCAUGUGUGUACAGAACGGUGUGAUUCACUCACUCUGAGUUGUGGUGGUCUUUGCAUAUUUUCACAAAUUAGAAAUCAGGAUAACAGUUACAACUGAUAGAGCCUUACAGUUAAGUGGCAAUUUUUUUUCUUUUUAGUGGCACAUAAACUAGAUUUUAGCUGGAUCCAAUGGCACAUGCCUAUAAAUCCAGAGGCUCAGGAGGCUAAGGCAGGAGGAUCUUAAGUUUGAGGCAUCAAGACAACUUAUGAGACCCCGUCUCAAAAAUAAAAGUGGGCCCUGGUGCAGUGGCAAAUGUCUAAUCCCAGCAGCUCAGAAGCCUGAGAUAGGAGGAUCGAGAGUUCUAAAGCAGCUUCAGCAACAGUGAGGCGCUGAGCAACUCAGAGAGACCCUGUCUCUAGAUAAGAUACAAAGAAGGGCUGAGGAUGUGGUUCAGUGGAUGAGUGCUCCCAAAUUCAAUUCCUGGUACCAAAAAUUUUUUUUAAAUUAAAGUGGGGGGCAGCUGGGGUUAUGGCUUAGUGGUUUUUGG
rnacentral:lncRNA from 1 species